CGUAGGGGGCAAGCGUUGUCCGGAUUUAUUGGGCGUAAGGAGCGUGUAGGCGGCCAGAUAGGUCAGCUGUGAAAACUCGAGGCUCAACCUCGAGAUGUCGGCUGAAACCAUUUGGCUAGAGUCCGGAAGAGGAGAAUGGAAUUCCCGGUGUAGCGGUGAAAUGCGCAGAUAUCGGGAAGAACACCCGUGGCGAAGGCGGUUCUCUGGGACGGUACUGACGCUGAGACGCGAAAGCGUGGGGAGCGAACAGGAUUAGAUACCCUGGUAGUCCACGCCGUAAACGAUGGGAACUAGGUGUGGGCGGUGUCGACUCCGUCCGUGCCCGAAGCUAACGCAUUAAGUUCCCCGCCUGGGGAGUACGGCCGCAAGGCUA
rnacentral:rRNA from 1 species